GGGUGGCGAGUGGCGGACGGGUGAGGAAUACAUCGGAAUCUACCUUUUCGUGGGGGAUAACGUAGGGAAACUUACGCUAAUACCGCAUACGACCUUCGGGUGAAAGCAGGGGACCUUCGGGCCUUGCGCGGAUAGAUGAGCCGAUGUCGGAUUAGCUAGUUGGCGGGGUAAAGGCCCACCAAGGCGACGAUCCGUAGCUGGUCUGAGAGGAUGAUCAGCCACACUGGAACUGAGACACGGUCCAGACUCCUACGGGAGGCAGCAGUGGGGAAUAUUGGACAAUGGGCGCAAGCCUGAUCCAGCCAUACCGCGUGGGUGAAGAAGGCCUUCGGGUUGUAAAGCCCUUUUGUUGGGAAAGAAAAGCAGUCGAUUAAUACUCGGUUGUUCUGACGGUACCCAAAGAAUAAGCACCGGCUAACUUCGUGCC
rnacentral:rRNA from 1 species